rnacentral:tRNA from 4 species
GGUCCCGUAGUGUAGCGGUUAACACGCCUGCCUGUCACGCAGGAGAUCGCGGGUUCGAUUCCCGUCGAGACCGCCA